rnacentral:rRNA from 1 species
GGAGUUAGCCGGUGCUUCUUCUGUGAGUGAUGUCCUUCCUGCCGGCUAUUAACCCGCAGGCCUUCUUCCUCACUGAAAGUGCUUUACAACCCGAAGGCCUUCUUCACACACGCGGCAUGGCUGGAUCAGGGUUGCCCCCAUUGUCCAAUAUUCCCCACUGCUGCCUCCCGUAGGAGUCUGGGCCGUGUCUCAGUCCCAGUGUGGCUGAUCAUCCUCUCAGACCAGCUACGGAUCGUCGCCUUGGUGAGCCGUUACCUCACCAACCAGCUAAUCCGACAUAGGCUCAUCCGAUAGCGCGAGGCCCGAAGGUCCCCCGCUUUCCCCCGUAGGGCGUAUGCGGUAUUAGCCUGGGUUUCCCCAGGUUAUCCCCCACUACCGGGCAGAUUCCUAUGCAUUACUCACCCGUCCGCCGCUCGCCACCAGGGAGCAAGCUCCCCGUGCUGCCGCUCGACUUGCAUGUGUAGCGUCGCCGCCACGCGUCAUCUGACGCGAGAACGUACGACCGUACGA